CCUACGGGAGGCAGCAGUGGGGAAUAUUGGACAAUGGGCGAAAGCCUGAUCCAGCCAUGCCGCGUGUGUGAAGAAGGCCUUCGGGUUGUAAAGCACUUUCAGUGGGGAAGAAAGCCUUGGGGCUAAUACCCUCGAGGAAGGACAUCACCCACAGAAGAAGCACCGGCUAACUCCGUGCCAGCAGCCGCGGUAAUACGGAGGGUGCGAGCGUUAAUCGGAAUUACUGGGCGUAAAGCGCGCGUAGGCGGUCUGAUAAGCCGGUUGUGAAAGCCCCGGGCUCAACCUGGGAACGGCAUCCGGAACUGUCAGGCUAGAGUGAAGGAGAGGAAGGUAGAAUUCCCGGUGUAGCGGUGAAAGGCGUAGAGAUCGGGAGGAAUACCAGUGGCGAAGGCGGCCUUCUGGACUGACACUGACGCUGAGGUGCGAAAGCGUGGGUAGCAAACAGGAUUAGAUACCCCAGUAGUC
rnacentral:rRNA from 1 species